rnacentral:tRNA from 1 species
CGUACUGUGGAUUGGUUGGUUAAAGCGCCGGUCUAGCGAAUACGGAGUCGUGGGUUCGAAUCCCACCAGAACGC